rnacentral:rRNA from 1 species
GACGAACGCUGGCGGCGUGCCUAAUACAUGCAAGUUGAGCGAUGAAGCUUGGUGCUUGCACCCAUUUGAAGAGCAGCGGACGGGUGAGUAACGCGUGGGGAAUCUGCCUUUGAGCGGGGGACAACAUUUGGAAACGAAUGCUAAUACCGCAUAACAACUUUAAACAUAAGUUUUAAGUUUGAAAGAUGCAAUUGCAUCACUCAAAGAUGAUCCCGCGUUGUAUUAGCUAGUUGGUGAGGUAAAGGCUCACCAAGGCGAUGAUACAUAGCCUGCCUGAGAGGGUGAUCGGCCACAUUGGGACUGGGACAAGGCUCAAACCCCUACGGGAGGCAGCAGUAGGGGAACUUCGGCAAUGGACGAAAGUCUGACCGAGCAACGCCGCGUGAGGGAAGAAGGUUUUCGGAUCGUAAAACUCUGUUGGUAGAGAAGAACGUUGGUGAGAGUGAAAAGCUCAUCAAGUGACGGUAACUACCCAGAAAGGGACGGCUAACUACGUG